AAGUCGUAACAAGGUUUCCGUAGGUGAACCUGCGGAAGGAUCAUUAGAGUAUUUACCUGCUCUUUGUAUGCUCACACUGGGCCGCCUUCUCGUCACUGGGAUAGCGUGGCCCUUAAGACUGGUGGACUUUGAGCCACCGGUCGCUUUUCUUGAUACCUUAUUUCUUUUAUAUCAUUACUGAGACAAAAGUUAGCAUUAAUUGCUGAGACAACUUUUAGCAACGGAUCUCUAGGCUCUC
rnacentral:misc_RNA from 1 species